AGAGGAAGCAUUCUAUUAACUCCACUAUCUACACCUCUUUUAUUUCCCCUGCUAAUCAGCGUCUUUUCAGUUUGCGGAAAAUUGAUUCUGGACAUUUUAUGAGUCCACAUCCAUAAACUGCAGCUCAGAUGAGGCCAGAAUGUCAUUAUGCACACAUUGGCUUCUGCCUCUUUACUCCAACACCCUCAGCAGCCGGAAGCUAAGAAGCAACAGCAGGUUCGGGUGAGAAUACAGACUGGAUUGAGG